rnacentral:rRNA from 1 species
CAGUAGCCGCGGGAAUACGAGGGGGGCAAGCGUUGUUCGGAAUUAUUGGGCGUGAAGGGUGCGUAGGCGGUUUGACAAGUCAUCUGUGAAAUCUAUGGGCUCAACCCAUAGUCUGCAGGCGAAACUGUCGGGCUUGAGUAUUGGAGAGGUGAGUGGAAUUUCCGGUGUAGCGGUGAAAUGCGUAGAUAUCGGAAGGAACACCUGUGGCGAAAGCGGCUCACUGGACAAUAACUGACGCUGAGGCACGAAAGCUAGGGGAGCAAACAGGAUUAGAUACCCCGGUAGUCCCUGUCUCUUAUAC